rnacentral:misc_RNA from 1 species
GGCAAAUUUUCAGAGAUUUUAUGCCCAUGAAAGAUCUCAUUUCACAAGGACAUACAGAACUUAGAACAAAUUUAUGACAUCACAUAAUAAUGAAAAGAAGAACUAUCAAUCUUACUCUGUUGAUCAGUUAAGGUUCAAAUCAGAUAUCAACCAUGAUAAGAAUAUGAAACGAAAGUAAUAAGAAUCAGUCCUUGAGUCACAGGUCAAAAAUACAAUGCCAAACCUUGAUAUUCCUUUGACGGGCAGCAAGC